rnacentral:rRNA from 1 species
CCUACGGGAGGCAGCAGUGGGGAAUAUUGGACAAUGGGCGCAAGCCUGAUCCAGCCAUGCCGCGUGAGUGAAGAAGGCCUUCGGGUUGUAAAGCUCUUUUGUCCGGAAAGAAAAGCAUUCGGUUAAUACCCGGUUGUUCUGACGGUACCGGAAGAAUAAGCACCGGCUAACUUCGUGCCAGCAGCCGCGGUAAUACGAAGGGUGCAAGCGUUACUCGGAAUUACUGGGCGUAAAGCGUGCGUAGGUGGUUUUUUAAGUCUGAUGUGAAAGCCCUGGGCUCAACCUGGGAAUGGCAUUGGAUACUGGCAGGCUAGAGUGUGGCAGAGGGUAGUGGAAUUCCUGGUGUAGCAGUGAAAUGCGUAGAGAUCAGGAGGAACAUCCGUGGCGAAGGCGACUGCCUGGGCCAACACUGACACUGAGGCACGAAAGCGUGGGGAGCAAACAGGAUUAGAUACCCUGGUAGUCCACGCCCUAA